GGAAGAUAGGGCAAUGUACAAAGAUAGGGCAAGUGGUACGGACAGGAGGUCCGUACCAAUGACCGUACAGCUCACUCCUCUCGCCCAAGUCAUCCGGUUAAGCCCAAAUCAAGAUGUGCAAUGUGUGGGCGGUCCAAUCCUUUCCUUAUGUCCGUUGGGGAGUCUUGGAGGCAAAGGAAGAAUCAAAUGGAUAAGGUGAGCUGUUGGAAUGAGCUGGAAAGGUAAAGGUGCUUUUCCUUUACAGCCUUGACUCAUCUGAUCCAUCCAAUUCAAAUGAAGCAAUCUGAGCCCUCCAUUCAGUCCAACCACGACCAGCUAGCACCAGAACAUCAAAGACCAGCUUCCUCUCAUCCUAACCAUCCAUUUAUCUUUAAUUUACAGCCUUAGGAUCUAGGUUUAUGAUCUGAGUUGUGUAAAGGCAUAAAUAAGCCUCUUAGGAUCAUUUUGUAACCUUUAAGCUGAGAGAGUCUCUCUUCUUCAUAAACUUGUUCUUGGAUCUUAUUCUCUGGUUACUAAGUCUCUCUAAUCUCCCAUACACGUUCCUAAUCUCUUAGUCUCUCCCAUACUCUCUCUGAUUCUCUUAAACUCAUUUCUAUUCUUCAUACUUCAUCAUACACAAAUCUCUCAUCUGUUCUUACAUCACUCAAGCACUUGUACUCUGAAAAUCUCACAUGGUAUCAGAGCCAGGUUGCUCAGACUCCUGGUAGAAGCUUCCGCAACAAACACAAGCUCCAGCCCACGCCAGUUCAGCU
rnacentral:lncRNA from 1 species